rnacentral:rRNA from 1 species
ACUCCUACGGGAGGCAGCAGUGAGGAAUAUUGGUCAAUGGAGGCAACUCUGAACCAGCCAUGCCGCGUGCAGGAAGACUGCCCUAUGGGUUGUAAACUGCUUUUAUACAGGAAGAAACAGUCGUACGAGUACGACCUUGACGGUACUGUAGGAAUAAGCACCGGCUAACUCCGUGCCAGCAGCCGCGGUAAUACGGAGGGGUGCAAGCGUUAUCCGGAAUCAUUGGGGUUUAAAGGGUCCGCAGGCGGUCAAUUAAGUCAGAGGUGAAAUCCCAUAGCUUAACUAUGGAACUGCCUUUGAUACUGGUUGACUUGAGUUAUACGGAAGUAGAUAGAAUAAGUAGUGUAGCGGUGAAAUGCAUAGAUAUUACUUAGAAUACCGAUUGCGAAGGCAGUCUACUACGUAUAUACUGACGCUCAUGGACGAAAGCGUGGGGAGCGAACAGGAUUAGAUACCCUGGUAGGAUAGCG